rnacentral:rRNA from 1 species
UACAGAGGGUGCGAGCGUUGUUCGGAAUUAUUGGGCGUAAAGGGCGCGUAGGCGGUGCGGUAAGUCACCUGUGAAAUCUCCUGGCUUAACUGGGAGCCUGCAGGCGAAACUACCGUGCUGGAGUGUGGGAGAGGUGCGUGGAAUUCCCGGUGUAGCGGUGAAAUGCGUAGAUAUCGUAAGGAAGACCAGUGGCGAAGGCGGGUCUCUGGACAGUUCCUGACGCUGAGGCACGAAGGCCAGGGGAGCAAACGGG